CCCUCCCAUAUAUUGGUAUGAAUUAGGGUCUACAAUUCAUAUCAUUAUCAAGAUUCUUUUUCAAGCAUGCAAGUACUACAACACAUGACUUAAACAAAAUCAGCGCCUUUUAAUUCGACUUCACAACCUAACUCCAAGGCCUUUGUAGCUAUUAUCUCACGUAUCAUCCACGCAAAGCUAUUCAUCCUCGACAGUCACCAAGUUCUCCUCCCAUAACCGAUGCUCUGCUUUCUCUUUGGUUCUGGCAUUUUCCAUCCAAAUCAUCAUCUUUCUCUGUUUUGUCUAUUCCUCUAUUGUAGUCUCAAAGAUGUGGCGGCUGUUAAAUACUAUAAUCGCUUCCGCCUAUAUAAGAUGUUUAUCUCCUCAUAAUAACAAGACGCCUAAUUCCAAUACUGAGAAGAUAAUUGUCACGGUUUUUAUGGUUGCUUGCUUACCAUGUCUAAGCCUUAACCG